rnacentral:rRNA from 1 species
CCCGCGUGUGAUUAGCUAGUUGGUGAGGUAAUGGCUCACCAAGGCGACGAUCAGUAGCUGGUCUGAGAGGAUGAUCAGCGACAUUGGGACUGAGACACGGCCCAAACUCCUACGGGAGGCAGCAGUGGGGAAUAUUGGACAAUGGGGGCAACCCUGAUCCAGCCAUGCCGCGUGAGUGAUGAAGGCCCUAGGGUUGUAAAGCUCAAAAGUGCGGGAAGAUAAUGACGGUACCGCAAGAAUAAGCCCCGGCUAACUUCGUGCCAGCAGCCGCGGUAAUACGAAGGGGGCUAGCGUUGCUCGGAAUCACUGGGCGUAAAGGGUGCGUAGGCGGGUCUUUAAGUCAGGGGUGAAAUCCUGGAGCUCAACUCCAGAACUGCCUUUGAUACUGAGGAUCUUGAGUUCGGGAGAGGUGAGUGGAACUGCGAGUGUUGAGGUGUUUAACGUAGAUAUUCGCAAGAACACCAGUGGCGAAGGCGGCUCACUGGCCCGAUACUGACGCUGAGGCACGAAAGCGUGGGGAGCAGGAUUAGAUACCCUGGUAGUCCACGGUAAACGAUGAAUGCCAGCCGUUAGUGGGUUUACUCACUAGUGGCGCAGCUAACGCAUUAAGCUUUCCGCCUGGGGAGUACGGUCGCAAGAUUUUAACUCAAAGGAAUUGACGGGGGCCCGCACAAGCGGUGGAGCAUGUGGUUUAAUUCGACGCAACGCGCAGAACCUUACCAGCCCUUGACAUGUCCAGGACCGGUCGCAGAGAUGUGACCUUCUCUUCGGAGCCUGGAGCACAGGUGCUGCAUGGCUGUCGUCAGCUCGUGUCGUGAGAUGUUGGGUUAAGUCCCGCAACGAGCGCAACCCCCGUCCUUAGUUGCUACCAUUUAGUUGAGCACUCUAAGGAGACUGCCGGUGAUAAGCCGCGAGGAAGGUGGGGAUGACGUCAAGUCCUCAUGGCCCUUACGGGCUGGGCUACACACGUGCUACAAUGGCGGUGACAAUGGGAUGCUAAGGGGCGACCCUUCGCAAAUCUCAAAAAGCCGUCUCAGUUCGGAUUGGGCUCUGCAACUCGAGCCCAUGAAGUUGGAAUCGCUAGUAAUCGUGGAUCAGCACGCCA